rnacentral:rRNA from 1 species
UAGGGAAUCUUCCACAAUGGACGCAAGUCUGAUGGAGCAACGCCGCGUGAGUGAAGAAGGUUUUCGGAUCGUAAAGCUCUGUUGUUGGUGAUGAAGGAUAGAGGUAGUAACUGGCCUUUAUUUGACGGUAAUCAACCAGAAAGUCACGUCUAACUACGUGCCAGCAGCCGCGGUAAUACGUAGGUGGCAAGCGUUGUCCGGAUUUAUUGGGCGUAAAGCGAGCGCAGGCGGAAGAAUAAGUCUGAUGUGAAAGCCCUCGGCUUAACCGAGGAACUGCAUCGGAAACUGUUUUUCUUGAGUGCAGAAGAGGAGAGUGGAAUUCCAUGUGUAGCGGUGGAAUGCGUAGAUAUAUGGAAGAACACCAGUGGCGAAGGCGACUCUCUGGUCUGCGACUGACGCUGAAGCUCGAAAGAAUGGGUAGCGAACAGG